rnacentral:rRNA from 1 species
AUAAAUCAAAACUUUCAACAACGGAUCUCUUGGUUCUGGCAUGGAUGAAGAACGCAGCAAAAUGCGAUAAGUAAUGUGAAUUGCAGAAUUCAGUGAAUCAUCGAAUCUUUGAACGCUCAUUGCGCCCGCCAGUAUUCUGGCGGGUAUGCCUGUUCGA